AGAGUUUGAUCAUGGCUCAGAGCGAACGCUGGCGGCAGGCUUAACACAUGCAAGUCGAGCGGGCGUAGCAAUACGUCAGCGGCAGACGGGUGAGUAACGCGUGGGAACAUACCUUUUGGUUCGGAACAACACAGGGAAACUUGUGCUAAUACCGGAUAAGCCCUUACGGGGAAAGAUUUAUCGCCGAAAGAUUGGCCCGCGUCUGAUUAGCUAGUUGGUGAGGUAACGGCUCACCAAGGCGACGAUCAGUAGCUGGUCUGAGAGGAUGAUCAGCCACAUUGGGACUGAGACACGGCCCAAACUCCUACGGGAGGCAGCAGUGGGGAAUAUUGGACAAUGGGCGCAAGCCUGAUCCAGCCAUGCCGCGUGAGUGAUGAAGGCCCUAGGGUUGUAAAGCUCUUUUGUGCGGGAAGAUAAUGACGGUACCGCAAGAAUAAGCCCCGGCUAACUUCGUGCCAGCAGCCGCGGUAAUACGAAGGGGGCUAGCGUUGCUCGGAAUCACUGGGCGUAAAGGGUACGUAGGCGGGUCUUUAAGUCAGGGGUGAAAUCCUGGAGCUCAACUCCAGAACUGCCUUUGAUACUGAGGAUCUUGAGUUCGGGAGAGGUGAGUGGAACUGCGAGUGUAGAGGUGAAAUUCGUAGAUAUUCGCAAGAACACCAGUGGCGAAGGCGGCUCACUGGCCCGAUACUGACGCUGAGGCACGAAAGCGUGGGGAGCAAACAGGAUUAGAUACCCUAGUAGUCC
rnacentral:rRNA from 1 species